AUUGAACGCUGGCGGAAUGCUUUACACAUGCAAGUCGAGCGGCAGCGCGGCCUUCGGGCUGGCGGCGAGCGGCGAACGGGUGAGUAAUGCAUCGGAACAUGCCCAGUCGUGGGGGAUAACACUUCGAAAGAAGUGCUAAUACCGCAUACGUCCUGAGGGGGAAAGCGGGGGAUCGCAAGACCUCGCGCGAUUGGAGUGGCCGAUGUCAGAUUAGCUAGUUGGUGGGGUAAAGGCCUACCAAGGCGACGAUCUGUAGCUGGUCUGAGAGGAUGAUCAGCCACACUGGGACUGAGACACGGCCCAGACUCCUACGGGAGGCAGCAGUGGGGAAUUUUGGACAAUGGGGGCAACCCUGAUCCAGCCAUUCCGCGUGAGUGAAGAAGGCCUUCGGGUUGUAAAGCUCUUUCGGCAGGAACGAAACGGUGGGCUCUAACAUAGUCCGCUAAUGACGGUACCUGAAGAAGAAGCACUGGCUAACUACGUG
rnacentral:rRNA from 1 species